GUGAACGCUGGCGGUAGGCCUAACACAUGCCAGUCGCACGGCAGCACAGUAAGAGCUUGCUCUUACGGGUGGCGAGUGGCGGACGGGUGAGGAAUACAUCGGAAUCUACUUUUUCGUGGGGGAUAACGUAGGGAAACUUGCGCUAAUACCGCAUACGACCUACGGGUGAAAGCAGGGGAUCUUCGGACCUUGCGCGAUUGAAUGAGCCGAUGUCGGAUUAGCUAGUUGGCGGGGUAAAGGCCCACCAAGGCGACGAUCCGUAGCUGGUCUGAGAGGAUGAUCAGCCACACUGGAACUGAGACACGGUCCAGACUCCUACGGGAGGCAGCAGUGGGGAAUAUUGGACAAUGGGCGCAAGCCUGAUCCAGCCAUACCGCGUGGGUGAAGAAGGCCUUCGGGUUGUAAAGCCCUUUUGUUGGGAAAGAAAAGCAGCAGGUUAAUACCCCGCUGUUCUGACGGUACCCAAAGAAUAAGCACCGGCUAACUUCGUG
rnacentral:rRNA from 1 species